UACGUAGGGGGCCAGCGUUGUUCGGAAUUACUGGGCGUAAAGAGCGCGUAGGCGGUAUGGUGUGUUCGGUGUGAAAUCUCCCGGCUCAACUGGGAGGGGUCGCCGAAAACUGCCGUGCUUAGGGUACGGGAAAGGGGAGUGGAAUUCCCGGUGUAGCGGUGAAAUGCGUAGAGAUCGGGAGGAACACCAGCGAUGAAGAUGGCUCCCUGGACCGUCACCGACGCUGAGGCGCGAAAGCUAGGGGAGCAAA
rnacentral:rRNA from 1 species